rnacentral:rRNA from 1 species
GAUGAACGCUGGCGGCGUGCCUAAUACAUGCAAGUCGAACGAAACUUCUUUAUCACCGAGUGCUUGCACUCACCGAUAAAGAGUUGAGUGGCGAACGGGUGAGUAACACGUGGGCAACCUGCCCAAAAGAGGGGGAUAACACUUGGAAACAGGUGCUAAUACCGCAUAACCAUAGUUACCGCAUGGUAACUAUGUAAAAGGUGGCUAUACUACCGCUUUUGGAUGGGCCCGCGGCGCAUUAGCUAGUUGGUAGGGUAAAGGCUUACCAAGGCAAUGAUGCGUAGCCGAAUUGAGAGGUUGAUCGGCCACAUUGGGACGGAGACACGGCCCAAACUCCUACGGGAGGCAGCAGUAGGGAAUCUUCCACAAUGGGCGAAAGCCUGAUGGAGCAACGCCGCGUGGGUGAAGAAGGUCUUCGGAUCGUAAAACCCUGUUGUUAGAGAAGAAAGUGCGUGAGAGUAACUGUUCACGUUUCGACGGUAUCUAACCAGAAAGCCACGGCUAACUAC